rnacentral:rRNA from 1 species
GUCCUAGCUGUAAACGAUGGACACUAGGUGUGGGAGGUAUCAACCCCUUCCGUGCCGACGCUAACGCAUUAAGUGUCCCGCCUGGGGAGUACGGCCGCAAGGUUAAAACUCAAAGGAAUUGACGGGGCCCGCACAAGCGGUGGAGCAUGUGGUUUAAUUCGACGCUACGCGAAAACCUUACCUGGGCUCGAACGACUGGUGUUAGUUCUGUAGAAAUACGGAAUGACCCGCAAGGGAGCCAGCCGAGGUGCUGCAUGGUUGUCGU